UUCUAUAAGAAGGGAAAUAAUAUAAGUACUGCUAGCUUCUAAGAGUGGAGUAUCUUUGGAAACUCAUUCAUUACAUUAUGCAGAAUUGGAGUCGUGCAAAAGAAAGAAAGGGAUAGCCUCACAUAUCUUGUAUAUACUUCCCAACCUCAAGCUAUGCAAAUGUCACGACUCCCUAGUCAACAAUAAGAGAAAUAAAACUAUUUUACGAUGAAAUGGAUAUCACUUCCCCUAUUUAUAUGACUUCCAAAAGUUAAAAAAAUCACUAAAUAUCCCAAACAACACCAAUAAUAAUCAUAUUGAGAAUUCUUAAACAGUCCAUCAACCAACAACAUUAUUAACAAGCAUUUUGAUAUAUAACUCACGAGUUCUAGCUUCAACGACUUAGCGACAACUUGGACAAUCUUAAAUACAUGUAGAGUAAGAGGUUACUUACCUUUAAACAGAUAGAACAACUCCAAUUUGACCUUAACUCCCUACGAAAUAUCCUUCCAACGCUUUCACAUGAACAAUAAAGAAUCUAAACUAGCAAUCAAUUCGGGUUUUUGGCACUAGAAUCACUUUGUAAGACUUGAAAUCACCUAGGGUUGAUAUUAGAAAUUUGAGGGUGUAAUUUACAGAACAUAAACCACUUAAAAAAACCUCCAACACAAACUAGAACAAUACAAAAAUCAGCAAUAAUAAGAAGAACAAGAAACUUACUAGCUCCAUGGGAUUCCCGACACUUGAUUUUUGUUGUUUGCCCUUUCUUUUGGUCUUGGAUCAUGAGAGUACCUUGAGAGAAUAUUUUUAGGUGUCUAGGGGCUGAAGAG
rnacentral:lncRNA from 1 species